rnacentral:rRNA from 1 species
GAUGAACGCUAGCUUCAGGCUUAACACAUGCAAGUCGAGGGGUAGCAGGGUAGCAAUACCGCUGACGACCGGCGCACGGGUGAGUAACAUGUAUCCAACCUUCCCAUAACUCGGGGAUAGCCUUUCGAAAGAAAGAUUAAUACCCGAUAGUACUUUAUUACGGCAUCUUAAGAAAGUUAAAGAUUUAUUGGUUAUGGAUGGGGAUGCGUUCCAUUAGAUAGUUGGUGAGGUAACGGCUCACCAAGUCUUCGAUGGAUAGGGGUUCUGAGAGGCAGGUCCCCCACAUUGGUACUGAGACACAGACCAAACUCCUACGUGAGGCAGCAGUGAUGAGUAUUGGUCAAUGGGCGAGCGCCUGAACCAGCCAAGUAGCGUGAAGGAUGAAGGUCCUAUGGAUUGUAAACUUCUUUUAUAGUAGAAUAAAGUGAACCACGUGUGGUUUUUUGUAUGUAUACUAUGAAUAAGGAUCGGCUAACUCCGUGCCAGCAGCCGCCGCGGUAA